rnacentral:rRNA from 1 species
AGACUUCUACGGAAGGCAGCAGUAAGUGAAUAUUGCGCAAUGGUCGAAAGACUGACGCAGCAACGCCGCGUGCAGGAUGAAGCUUCUAGGAGUGUAAACUGCUUUUAGUUGGGAAGAACAGACAGGUUUCGAAUAGGGACUUGUUUGGACGGUACCUUUAGAAAAAGCCCCGGUUAACUCCGUGCCAGCAGCCGCGGUAACACGGGGGGGGCAAGCGUUGUCCGGAAUUAUUGGGCGUAAAGGGCGCGCAGGCGGGAUGAUCAGUCUGAGGUGAAAUCUUGAGGCUUAACCGAAAGCUUGCCUUGGAUACGGUCAUUCUUGAGUUCGGAAGAGGGAAGUGGAAUUCCUGGUGUUACCGGUGAAAUGCGUAGAUAUCAGGAAGAACACCGGUGGCGAAGGCGGCUUCCUGGUCCGAUACUGACGCUGAGGCGCGAGAGCGUGGGGAGCGAACAGGAUUAGAUACCCUGGUAGUCCACGCUGUAAACGAUGGGUACUAGGUGUUGGUCCUUUUUAGGAUCAGCGCCGCAGCUAACGCAUUAAGUACCCCGCCUGGGGAAUACGACCGCAAGGUUGAAACUCAAAGGAAUUGACGGGGGCCCGCACAAGCGGUGGAGCAUGUGGUUUAAUUCGAUGCAACGCGAAGAACCUUACCUGGGCUUGAACCGUAGUCAAAAACCCCUGAAAAGGGGUCCUCCUUCGGGACGGCUAUAGAGGUGCUGCAUGGCUGUCGUCAGCUCGUGCCGUGAGGUGUUGGGUUAAGUCCCGCAACGAGCGCAACCCUUGCCCUUAGUUGCCAUCAGGUUAUGCUGGGAACUCUAAGGGGACUGCCCCGGAUAACGGGGAGGAAGGUGGGGAUGACGUCAAGUCCUCAUGGCCCUUACGUCCAGGGCUACACACGUGCUACAAUGGCCGGUACAAUGGGCAGCGAUACCGCAAGGUGGAGCAAAUCCUUAAAACCGGUCUCAGUUCAGAUUGCAGUCUGCAACUCGACUGCAUGAAGUCGGAAUCGCUAGUAAUCGCGGAUCAGCAUGCCGCGGUGAAUACGUUCCCGGGCCUUGUACACACCGCCCGUCACGCCAUGGAAGUUGGUAGC